AGUGGAUUUUCUGGCUUUUGUGGUAAAUACAGAUUCAACAUUUAAAAAAACUGCCAAACUGUUUUCCAGGAUAACUAUACCAUUUCAUAUUCCCACCAGCAAU
rnacentral:pre_miRNA from 1 species